UGCUAUUAUUAGCCUAAGUUUAUUAAAACACGGGGAAACCAAAUUUUGGGGUGAAUCGUAAUAUUAUUACGUAGGUUAUGCCUUUUCCGAACCCGUCAGCUAACCCCGUAGGCAAAAGGAGUGAAAAA
rfam:Clostridium sp. IEH 97212 scaffold_4, whole genome shotgun sequence.